CUUCAAUGUUGAAAAUGCACGUAAUUCCUGCAUUUAAAACAUGUUGUAAAUGGCACAAAUAUGAAAUUUUAUGCUGUGCCCUGGUACACAGUGUUGAGAAGGAGACUGUGAUGCUGGCCGGUGGAGCUCAUCACAAGUUAUGUGAUUCUUUUAUCAUGUGAUUCAAGAAUUUCUAUUGAAGAAUGUGAGGAAAGAAUGCCAUGAAAAACAGCAGCAUGCUGCAUUUUGGAAAAGCUGCAAAAAAGCUGCCAAAUACAAAAAAGCAUUGGUUACUACGGUGAUUUUUUUUUUUUCCAAAUCAACUGGUGCCAAAAAGUUAAACAGGUUUUCAAAUUAGAUACAAGAAAAUACAGCACCACAAAGAAAUGUCCCGGUACUUAUGCCUAUGGAUAAAAGAGCAUCCCUUGAGAAAGUCCAUCAAACGAACAUUGGGACGGUGGUGAAAGGACCCUAUUAUGGGUUACAACUGUGAACAACAAGCAAUGAAGAAAAUGAAGCAAGAACAUUACAAUAUACUUUGACUUUUGGAGAAAAGAGUACAGCGAUCAGUGUUAUCCAUUUAUUUUAUUUAUUUAUGUUUCCUUGAAAUCCUUGUAGAAUGAGGAUUCCCAACAAAGACAUUGGCCCAGACUUAUCAAUCUGCCUAGACUGUCUGGUUUUGCCCAUAACAACCAAUCACAGCUCAGAUUUCAGCUUUUGUUGGUUGUUAUGGGAAAACCAGACCGUUUUGGUUUUAGGCUGAUAAUUUGGCUUGUCAGUGGUUUGGGCCUUCACCUAACAUGCUAUACAGUUAUAACAAUUAAUGCAUUUUAAUAGGGAAAGACUGUGACAUAAUAAAGAAAUUAUAAGCAUUAAAAAAAUCUUUACCAAG